rnacentral:rRNA from 1 species
GACGAAGGUGGCAAGCGUUGUUCGGAAUCACUGGGCUUAAAGCGCACGUAGGCGGCCUGUUAAGCGUCUUGUGAAAGCCCCCGGCUCAACCGGGGAAUGGCAGGGCGAACUGGCAGGCUUGAGGCAGGUAGAGGCGAGUGGAACUCUUGGUGGAGCGGUGGAAUGCGUAGAUGUGAAGAGGAAAGCCGGUGGCGAAAGCGACUUGUUGGGGCUGACCUGACGCUCAGGUGCGAAAGCCAGGGGAGCAAACGGG